UACAGAGGUCUCAAGCGUUGUUCGGAUUCAUUGGGCGUAAAGGGUGCGUAGGUGGCGCCGUAAGUCAGGUGUGAAAUUUCGGAGCUUAACUCCGAAACUGCAUUUGAUACUGCGGUGCUUGAGGACUGGAGAGGAGACUGGAAUUUACGGUGUAGCAGUGAAAUGCGUAGAGAUCGGCAGGAACACCCAGGGGGAAACCAGUCGACUGGGCAUCUACUGACGCUGAGGUGCGAGAGCGUGGGGAGCGAACCGG
rnacentral:rRNA from 1 species